UAGGGAAUCUUCGGCAAUGGACGAAAGUCUGACCGAGCAACGCCGCGCGAGUGAAGAAGGUUUUCGGAUCGUAAAACUCUGUUGUUAGAGAAGAACAAGGACGUUAGUAACUGAACGUCCCCUGACGGUAUCUAACCAGAAAGCCACGGCUAACUACGUGCCAGCAGCCGCGGUAAUACGUAGGUGGCAAGCGUUGUCCGGAUUUAUUGGGCGUAAAGCGAGCGCAGGCGGUUUCUUAAGUCUGAUGUGAAAGCCCCCGGCUCAACCGGGGAGGGUCAUUGGAAACUGGGAGACUUGAGUGCAGAAGAGGAGAGUGGAAUUCCGUGUGUAGCGGUGACAUGCGUAGAUAUAUGGAGGAACACCAGUGGCGAGGGCGGCUCUCUGGUCUGUAACUGACGCUGGGGCUCGAGAGCGUGGGGAGCAAACAGG
rnacentral:rRNA from 1 species